CCCAAAAGUGUUGAGUUCAGCUGCAGGCUUCUCCCUGGGGCUGAUAAUUUACUUUUGGGACAGUAACAAGCUUACAGGACUUUAGGCCUUUUGGGUCUUGCCCUGGAGCUGACACAA